UUUUUUAGGGAAGAUCUGGCCUUCCUGCAAGGGAAGGCGGAAUUUUCCU
rfam:Human immunodeficiency virus type 1, isolate MN, complete genome.